rfam:Glycine soja cultivar W05 scaffold1420_38, whole genome shotgun sequence.
UUCUUAUUGGAUGAUGAUUGUCAUGCGUCAUGUUCUGAUUGGAUGUCAACUCCAUGAAAAAUAAAAUGGAUUGUUGUUUUGUUUUUUAUUGACCAAUCAGAACAUGACGUGUGACAGUCAUCAUCC